rfam:Salmo salar isolate Sally breed double haploid chromosome ssa02, whole genome shotgun sequence.
GCUCAGUUGGUAGAGCAUGGUGUUUGCAAUGCCAGGGUUGUGGGUUCGAUUCCCAC